CGUAGGGUGCAAGCGUUGUCCGGAAUUAUUGGGCGUAAAGAGCUCGUAGGCGGCUUGUCACGUCUGCUGUGAAAACUCGGGGCUCAACCCCGAGCCUGCAGUGGAUACGGGCUAGCUAGAGUUCGGUAGGGGAGACUGGAAUUCCUGGUGUAGCGGUGAAAUGCGCAGAUAUCAGGAGGAACACCGGUGGCGAAGGCGGGUCUCUGGGCCGAUACUGACGCUGAGGAGCGAAAGCGUGGGGAGCGAACAGGAUUAGAUACCCUGGUAGUCCACGCCGUAAACGUUGGGCGCUAGGUGUGGGGAACUUUCCACGUUCUCCGUGCCGCAGCUAACGCAUUAAGCGCCCCGCCUGGGGAGUACGGCCGCAAGGCUA
rnacentral:rRNA from 1 species